GAGCUAAUACAUGCAAACACACUCGACUUCUGGAAGGGAUGUAUUUAUUAGAUUAAAAACCAAUGCGUUUAACGACGCUUUUCGGUGAUUCAUAAUAACUGUUCGAAUCGCAUGGCCCUCGUGCCGGCGAUGUUUCAUUCGAGUUUCUGCCCUAUCAACUUUCGAUGGUAAGGUAUUGGCUUACCAUGGUGACAACGGGUAACGGAGAAUUAGGGUUCGAUUCCGGAGAGGGAGCCCGAGAAACGGCUACCACAUCCAAGGAAGGCAGCAGGCGCACAAAUUACCCAAUCCCGACUCGGGGAGGUAGUGACAAUAAAUAACGUUGCAGGCGCCUACGGCUUCUGCAGUCGGAAUGAGUACAAUAUAACACCCUUAACGAGGAACAAUUGGAGGGCAAGUCUGGUGCCAGCAGCCGCGGUAAUUCCAGCUCCAAUAGCGUAUAUUAAAGUUGUUGCAGUUAAAAAGCUCGUAGUUGGACCUCGGAGCAGGUUGAUUGGUCCGCCCUGAAGGGUGCUGUACUGAUCGGUCUGCUCUUCUUCGCGAAGACUCCGUGUGCCCUUAACUGGGUGGGCGAAGGAUUCGCGGCGUUUACUUUGAAAAAUUAGAGUGUUCAAAGCAGGCAAUCGCUUGGAUAUCUCAGCAUGGAAUAAUAGAAUAGGACUUUGGUCUUAUUUUGUUGGUUUCCGAGACCGAAGUAAUGAUUAAUAGGGACAGUUGGGGGCAUUCGUAUUUCAUUGUCAGAGGUGAAAUUCUUGGAUUUAUGAAAGACAG
rnacentral:rRNA from 1 species